UACGGGGGGGGCAAGCGUUGUUCGGAAUUACUGGGCGUAAAGGGCUCGUAGGCGGCCAACUAAGUCGGAUGUGAAAUCCCCAGGCUUAACCUGGGAACUGCAUCCGAUACUGGAUGGCUUGAAUCCGGGAGAGGGAUGCAGAAUUCCAGGUGUAGCGGUGAAAUGCGUAGAUAUCAGGAGGAACACCGGUGGCGAAGGCGGGUCUCUGGGCCGAAAUUGACGCUGAGGAGCGAAAGCGUGGGGAGCAAACAGG
rnacentral:rRNA from 1 species